UUGUGAAUCAUCGAAUCUUUGAACGCACCUUGCGCUCCCUGGUAUUCCGGGGAGCACGCCUGUUCGAGUGUCACGAAAUUUCUCAAGCUAGGAUGGCUUUUUGUCUGUCCUUAGCCUUGGUUGUUGGGCUUUGCCGUGUCCUUCAUUGGGACGGCUGGCCUUAAAAGCAUUAGCUGAUCCUCGUGUGGCACUGGUUCUACUCAGCGUGAUAACAGUCUGAUCGCUGAGGACAUCUUUUGGGAUGGCCAGUCCUCAUUUGGGUUGCUUCUAAACUUGGUUUCGCGGAUUGUUCAAUCUGCGUUCCACUUUUCAGCUUUGACCUCGAAUC
rnacentral:rRNA from 1 species